rnacentral:rRNA from 1 species
AUGAACGCUAGCUACAGGCUUAACACAUGCAAGUCGAGGGGCAGCAUGGUCUUAGCUUGCUAAGGCCGAUGGCGACCGGCGCACGGGUGAGUAACACGUAUCCAACCUGCCGUCUACUCUUGGACAGCCUUCUGAAAGGAAGAUUAAUACAAGAUGGCAUCAUGAGUCCGCAUGUUCACAUGAUUAAAGGUAUUCCGGUAGACGAUGGGGAUGCGUUCCAUUAGAUAGUAGGCGGGGUAACGGCCCACCUAGUCUUCGAUGGAUAGGGGUUCUGAGAGGAAGGUCCCCCACAUUGGAACUGAGACACGGUCCAAACUCCUACGGGAGGCAGCAGUGAGGAAUAUUGGUCAAUGGGCGAGAGCCUGAACCAGCCAAGUAGCGUGAAGGAUGACUGCCCUAUGGGUUGUAAACUUCUUUUAUAAAGGAAUAAAGUCGGGUAUGGAUACCCGUUUGCAUGUACUUUAUGAAUAAGGAUCGGCUAACUCCGUGCCAGCAGCCGCGGUAAUACGGAGGAUCCGAGCGUUAUCCGGAUUUAUUGGGUUUAAAGGGAGCGUAGAUGGAUGUUUAAGUCAGUUGUGAAAGUUUGCGGCUCAACCGUAAAAUUGCAGUUGAUACUGGAUAUCUUGAGUGCAGUUGAGGCAGGCGGAAUUCGUGGUGUAGCGGUGAAAUGCUUAGAUAUCACGAAGAACUCCGAUUGCGAAGGCAGCCUGCUAAGCUGCAACUGACAUUGAGGCUCGAAAGUGUGGGUAUCAAACAGGAUUAGAUACCCUGGUAGUCCACACGGUAAACGAUGAAUACUCGCUGUUUGCGAUAUACUGCAAGCGGCCAAGCGAAAGCGUUAAGUAUUCCACCUGGGGAGUACGCCGGCAACGGUGAAACUCAAAGGAAUUGACGGGGGCCCGCACAAGCGGAGGAACAUGUGGUUUAAUUCGAUGAUACGCGAGGAACCUUACCCGGGCUUAAAUUGCAGAUGAAUUACGGUGAAAGCCGUAAGCCGCAAGGCAUCUGUGAAGGUGCUGCAUGGUUGUCGUCAGCUCGUGCCGUGAGGUGUCGGCUUAAGUGCCAUAACGAGCGCAACCCUUGUUGUCAGUUACUAACAGGUUCCGCUGAGGACUCUGACAAGACUGCCAUCGUAAGAUGUGAGGAAGGUGGGGAUGACGUCAAAUCAGCACGGCCCUUACGUCCGGGGCUACACACGUGUUACAAUGGGGGGUACAGAGGGCCGCUACCACGCGAGUGAAUGCCAAUCCCCAAAACCUCUCUCAGUUCGGACUGGAGUCUGCAACCCGACUCCACGAAGCUGGAUUCGCUAGUAAUCGCGCAUCAGCCACGGCGCGGUGAAUACGUUCCCGGGCCUUGUACACACCGCCCGUCAAGCCAUGGGAGCCGGGGGUACCUGAAGUGCGUAACCGCGAGGAGCGCCCUAGGGUAAAACUGGUGACUGGGGCU